GCUUGGGGAGGGGAGAAGACCCAAUUCAAAGGUAGGUAGUUUUUUUUGUGGGCUUUAGCAACCCAGUCUGCUACAAAGUUGGCCUCUCUAUAACAAUGAAUAACCCAGAUACUAGAGAAGGAUCGUAGCAGGUCUUUGCAUUUCGAGAUAAGCGCGUGAACUUCCCAACUAAGUUGAUCUGGACUCUCUAAGGCAUUGACUAAGUCCAAACUGUCAGACUCAAGAACAAGGACUUCGUGUCGUUUGGGAAAGAAAUGAGUUAGGGCUUCUAACAAAGCGAGAGACUCAGCCAUCAGCGGGGAUGACGUUGCCACCGUAUGAGCUGCUCCAUCCAGCAACCUCCCGACGGAAUCACGGCAAACGCAGGCGACCGAACCUUCCGAAGCUCCAGAUCUGCUUGAUUUGGGGUUCCAUCUGUUAAAGCUCUUCAACCCAACUAGAACAGAGUCGAUGAGGCUGAUUGUGUCAGGUUUUCUGUUCUUGAAGAUGGCUUGGUUGCGCGCCUUCCAUAUAUUCCAUAGUGUUGCAACAACCAGCUCUAGAUCAGGUGAGUUGCUUGACUUUCCUUUCAAAUUCCCGAACCAAUCUUCAAUUCGAGUAAGACCCUGACUUGAUAUAUGAACAUUCAGCACAGGGUUCGACCAAAUUUCCUUCAUCCAAGGACACAAUAAAAAUAGGUGCUCCACAGUUUCCACGCCUCGAUUGCAUAAAGAGCAUGUGGGAUCAGGUAUAACUUUUCUUCGAAAUAAAUUCUCUUUAGUUGGGAGAGCAUUCUAGCAUAAAUUCCACAUGAAAAUUCUAACCUUGGGUGGAGAGUGCAAUUUCCAUAUAUCUGUCCAGAGGGUGGGAGGAGGUUGAAAAGAAGUUGAGGCUUGAUUUUCAUUCUGUUUAUUUGCUUUCUCUCGAAUGUAGUUGUAUCCACUUUUAACUGUGUACUUGCCUGCUUGAGUUCCAGUCCAUACGAGCCGGUCUUUCUCUAUUUGGGGUUU